CGUCACUCCCCCUCAGCUUCUACAGGAGAACCUUUGUGUGGUUGGGAGUCUACAAAGGAGAGAGAGACUCCUUCAAACUCAGGUGUGUCAAGAAAAUGCCCCAAAAGAAAAUGGACAGAAGAGGAGGUGAAGCUGGUUGAAAACAAGCUCUUGGACCACAUCACAUCUGGACGGGUACCAGGAAAAAGACAAUGUGAAGACUGCAUCAGGUCAGCGCCGGAAAUUUUUAAACAUAGAACCUGGGAAUCUGUUAAGUUUUACAUCAAGAACCGAAUAACAGCACACCGGAGGGAGUGUGAGAAAAGACGAUGACUCUGAAAAGAUCAUGCAACUUCAGGUCAGUUCUGUUCUCCAAAAUGGAGGAUAGAACUGACCUGAAAUGUACCAAACACUGUUCACACUUAUUCUCUCCAGUCCAUCUUUUUAUCUCAGAGCAUUUGUUUGGUUUGUUCUGGCUUUUAACCCUACCAUAAAUUAGGGAAUAUGUUAAUACUGAAAAUGUUUGGUUCUUGCCAGUUCUGUCUUUCAUGUCAAACACACAGACACUUUGCACUUGUUCACUUUAUCUUCUUAUACUUUCAUCAGAGCUUUUGUUUAGACUGACUUUACAAAAUCACCUGUAUUACUCUGAGCUUUAUGUUUAUACUUUGGGUUUUCAGAUUAAUACACAGUGUACUGGAGACACUGUGAGUAAUACUUUUGAUUUUAUUUAUUCACAAAAAGGAAGAGUUACUAAAGAAGUUCUAUAUCAAUCCUUUUGUUUAUUUGAUAAAUGCCUUAAUGGAGAAUGUGGACAAUACUCGUACUUGUUCAAACAUAUACAAGUAUUAUUUUAUGUUUGUUAGCUGUACUUUAUGAAAAACAUUUGACAUGUUUUCAUGGAUGUGAUCCAGCCAAUUCUUUACUGUUCAUGUUUGCAAUAAAAAGAUUGCAAAGAUUUGAA